rnacentral:lncRNA from 1 species
AGUUAGAAGAGCUGUUGUUUCGUUUUCUAAAACAAACUACCAACUCUGCAGGCAUGCAAAGAAGUGUACUAUGGUCCCAAGUGAGUGUUUCUCCCAAGAGUCUGUAUUUUUCCCUAGCUCAACUCACUUCCUGGUCAGCAAUAGGAUUCAUAAGUAAAUGACUGAAGAGGAAACAAGUUCACAGGUGGUGGUCCCUGUUGCUUUGUUUCUUCUGGCUUAAAUUCCGACCAGCACACGCCUUUAAUGCCAGUAAUGCAAGAAAGAUAUGCAUUAAUAGAAAUCGCAUUGAAGUGUGUCCCAGUUUCACUCCCUGGGAGUCUGUAAAGGAAAGAGAAAUCUUCACAAGCCACAUCUUUGGGAUGUUUUAAGUCAUCUUCUAAACAAAGUACUUUAUCCUGGACCUGCUAAAUACAAAUGUACAAGACAACAUCGCGCUUCCAAAGGCUUUCUGUGGAUAAAUAAAUUCCUUCAUGACUACGAUUUCAUUUGCUCAACUCUGGUUAUAAAAUGACCCCAUAAAUUCACUAACGGUAUUGCACUAUACAUGGAGAUCAGGCAUUUUUCAGGGAAAUACUAAGGCAGCUGUUACAGAUUAUGCCUCCUGAAAAACAAGCGGCUGUGUCAUAGUCUGAAAUAACAUGGACGCUGUGCUGUGCACUUCUCAAGCUGGUUCUCGUAUUCAGUAUUUCUAGUAAAUGGAUGCAAAUCAGGUUCAUUGUGCUUCGAUGGGAAGGGGGGAGAUUUGUCCAGAAAUGACCUCAGUUCUAUUCAUUAAUAAAAUGACACUUUGGCCGAGAGCAGUGAAGAAUGAAAUAUAACAAGAGUGAACUUUCCUCCAUGGGACAGAUGUACAUAGAGCUUUUCCUUGGAGAAUGCACUGUAUGUAAAAUGGCCACUGCAACAUAAUAUCUGACAACAUGAAAGGGACCUCUAAGAUGCAGAUUGCUUGGAGGAAAAUCACAACGUCCAUGGCGGUGCAUACCCUGAGUCCCUAGAUACUGUACAGCUGUUGCUGAUCCAACCCUUCCGAAGUUCUUAAUCAAGCACGCCUACUGAGUGAUUAAAUUUUCCAUAUCACGUCAUCACCGUUUUCCUACAGCAGAGAAAAACCAGCAGUAUUAUAUUAUAAACGGUUAUGUGAGAGCUUAAAAGAGAAAUGUCCUGUGAGCCUCCUGCCCUUUCCUGCUUGGUACCCAGCUAGUGACCAUUUGGGGAGGAUUAGGAGGUAUGAUUCUGACGGAGG